rnacentral:miRNA from 1 species
UGCCUCCGGACUGGAUUCUUGAACC